rnacentral:misc_RNA from 1 species
CCUCCUUACUAUUACGUCGAUGACGCCCUUGAUGCAGUGCCUACACAGAUUGUUUUGUUUAUUUAUAAAGACUCGCUUCGCGAGUGUCGCGAAUAGCUGCCUAAACGGAAGAAAAUCUUCCUGACAGCCAUUCUGCUCGCUAAAGUGGUAGUUGUUCUUAAAUAGAAUGCUAAUCAAUAACUCAUUAUUGAUUAGUGUUUCUUUAUAAUGCACUAACGUUCUUUAACAAUUUGGAAAGCUGAUAUUAAUAGUAAUCAAUCAAAAGAGUAAUUGAGAAGUCGAAAGACGCACUUUUUACUCUACUUGACUUGAAUUGCUUGUUAUCAAUUUAUUGAUAGCAAGGCAAUUCUUCCGAUUAGCUUGUCAUGCAUACAACAUUACCAUGUCCGACGUCAAAAGGCGGACAUGGAAGCCGAUACUCAAGGCUUUUUUAGGGUUGUAUGGUUAAGUUGACGAAAGCGUAAUACCGGUGGAAUGCCCUUGGCCCAAGGGC